rnacentral:rRNA from 1 species
UGGGGAAUCUUCCGCAAUGGACGAAAGUCUGACGGAGCAACGCCGCGUGAGUGAAGACGGCCUUCGGGUUGUAAAGCUCUGUGAUCCGGGACGAAAGAGCCUGAGGUGAAUAGCCUAAGGAAGUGACGGUACCGGAAAAGCAAGCCACGGCUAACUACGUGCCAGCAGCCGCGGUAAUACGUAGGUGGCAAGCGUUGUCCGGAAUUAUUGGGCGUAAAGCGCGCGCAGGCGGCUUCCUAAGUCCAUCUUAAAAGUGCGGGGCUUAACCCCGUGAUGGGAUGGAAACUGGGAAGCUGGAGUAUCGGAGAGGAAGGUGGAAUUCCUAGUGUAGCGGUGAAAUGCGCAGAUAUCAGGAGGAAUACCGGUGGCGAAGGCGGGUCUCUGGGCUGUUACUGACGCUGAGGAGCGAAAGCGUGGGGAGCGAAAAGG